ACACCUUAAUUUUGGACUUCUACUCUCCAGAGCUGUGAGAGGAUACAUUUCUGUAAUUUUAAGCCACCCAGUUUACGGACUUUGUUAUGGCAGCCUUGGGAAGCAAAUGCACUCAGUACAUGUUAAUUUGUAUCUUCCCUACUUUGUACUUGCAAGGUGUCUCUGGGUCUCUGGUGUACACCAGGGCCUGCCCUUGAGCAUGCUGGGGUGCUCAGCACGGGGGUAGCCCUGCAGCCUGACUCUCUGUAGACAGAUCAGGAUCGGUCUAACAUGGAAUUAUGAAGUGGAGCCAGGGUCAGCUUUGGGCCACACCUGCCUUCUGUGCCGGCCUUGGAUUAUGUUCAAAUUCAUCUCAUGCUACCCCAGCAGAAAAGAGUGUCUUCAAUAAAUUCACUCAAAAGGA
rnacentral:lncRNA from 1 species